GCAGUCGUGGCCGAGUGGUAAGGCGAUGGACUAGAAAUCCAUUGGGGUCUCCCCCGCACAGGUUCAAAUUCUGUCA
rnacentral:tRNA from 1 species